GACGUAGGGCGCGAGCGUUGUCCGGAUUUAUUGGGCGUAAAGAGCGUGUAGGCGGUUUGGUAGGUCCGCUGUGAAAACUCGAGCUCAACCUCGAGACGCCGGUGGAAACCAUCAGACUAGGAGUCCGGAAGAGGAGAGUGGAAUUCCUGGUGUAGCGGUGAAAUGCGCAGAUAUCAGGAAGAACACCCGUGGCUAAGGCGGCUCUCUAGUACGGUACUGACGCUGAGACGCGAAAGCGUGGGGAGCGAACAGG
rnacentral:rRNA from 1 species